GUUUGGUCCACCGCGCACGUCACACUUGUGUGUGUGUACAAGUCCGGUGGCGCCGGCGGGAGAGACCAGUUCUUCAGACAGUAGUUGAGAGGAAUACUAAUGAAAUUUACGCCCCUGGGGACGUGUCCAGUUGUACUCUUUACUUCAGUCGCUUGAGAUGGUGUUGGACAGUGUAAGCUUGACUCUCACCAUGAU